rnacentral:rRNA from 1 species
AAUUUUGGACAAUGGGCGCAAGCCUGAUCCAGCCAUGCCGCGUGAGUGAAGAAGGCCUUCGGGCUGUAAAGCUCUUGCGGACGGAAAGAAAUCGCUCAGGCUAAUACCCUGAGCGGAUGACGGUACCGCCAUAAGAAGCACCGGCUAACUCCGUGCCAGCGGCCGCGGUAACCCGUAGGUGGCGAGAGUUAACCGGAAUUACUGGGCGUAAAGCGUUCGCAGGCGGUUGAUUAAGACAGGCGUGAAAUCCCCGGGCUUAACCUGGGAACUGCGCUUGCGACUGGUCAGCUAGAGUACGGCAGAGGGGGGUGGAAUUCCACGUGUAGCAGUGAAAUGCGUAGAGAUGUGGAGGAACACCGAUGGCGAAGGCAGCCCCCUGGGCCGAUACUGACGCUCAUGCACGAAAGCGUGGGUAGCAAACAGG